rnacentral:rRNA from 1 species
UCCCGGAGGGUGUAUCUAGAAAGUCAAAUUAAAGCUUUAAGGAAGCAUUUUAUUUACAUUAAAAGGAUCUUUGUAAUGAGUAAUUUGAAAGAAAAAAAUUAUUGUUUAUUAAAUUUUAUUAAUUUAGUUUUAAUCAAAAAUUUAUAAAAGUAUUUUGUUGUUUGUUAUUGAAUAAGAACAAAUUUGGGUUAUUAUAGUUGACUAGUAUUGUGAAAGAAUUUUAUUUUUGUAAAAAAGAAGAAUUUGUUUUUUGUACCUUGUGUAUCAGGGUUUUAUCAAAUAAAAUUUAAAGUUUAGAAUUUCUCGAAUCUAAAAGAGCUAUGAAUUUAUAUUUUUUAAUGUAAAAUAAUUAUUAUGAAUAAAUUUUAUAGAAAUGAACCGUUAAACGUUUUUAGUUAUAUCUAGUUUCUUAAGAAAAAAAUUUAAUUUUAUGUUAGUUGAAUAUUAAUGUGUUUAUUUAUAUUAAUAUUGACUAGGUUUUAUAUUUUUAGGGAUUAGCUUGAAAGUAGAGUAAUAUAAUUUAAUAAAAAUGAGUUGUUUGGUAGAAUUAAUAAUGUUCAUCUUUUAGUGUGUUAAAAUUAAUCAAUAGAUUAUUUUUAUUUUUAUUAAAUUUAUUUGGGUAUUAAGAUUUAUAUUAAAAUGGUUAAAAUGUAGAAAAAAUGAUAAAAUUAGUAUAAUAAAGUUUAAUUAGUAAUUUAAUUUGAAAGGUUAUAUAAAGGAAUUCGGCAAAAUAUUUUCUACCUGUUUAAUAAAAACAUGUCUUUUUGAUUAUAAUUUAAAGUCUAGUCUGCCCAAUGAGUAAUUAAAUGGCUGCAGUAUUUUAACUGUGCAAAGGUAGCAUAAUCAUUAGUUUUUUAAAUGAAAGCUGGAAUGAAUGGCUGGAUAAGAAAGUUUCUGUCUCUGUAUAAAUUUAAUAGAAUUUUAUUUUUAAGUUAAAAAGCUUAAAUUUUAAUAGAAGACGAGAAGACCCUAUAGAGUUUUAUAUUUUUACAAAUUAUAGAUUUUAGAAUUUUA